UGUCGAGACGGAAGUCGAUAUGGAAGUCUUUGAUACUCAAAGAGAAAAGCUGUUACUAGUGUUAGAAUUCAAGGUGGCAGUAUAAGACACAUUCUAAACAUCCAGGAAGGCUCACAAUCGGUAUAUAGUUCAUCUUCAAACUCAACACUAACUGUUGUUACAGACUCUCUCAAUCAAAGCCCAAAACUAAAUUUUGUUUGUCUUAAAAUGGAGAUGACAAACAAAAUCCAAGACACUCUAAGUAAGUCUACUAAAACAGAUUUUACAGACCCAUUUCAGAACGUAAUGGAUUUUAGAGUUACAAUGAAAUAUAUGGACUUUUAUCAAGGAACAUAUAGUCAGUUAACGUAAACCAUUUUUGAUAUUAAAGUGUUUGUCCAUCAACAUACUGUUACGACAGCGUAAGUCACGUGAUGCUGGUAACACGUAAUGAGUAUCUAGAAGGUUCCUGAAAGCUCGAGUGUUUGCCAGACGCCCUCUAUUUGUAUAUAUAAGACUGGCAA